GGGACUACACGGGACACGUGUCCCCUAGGCAAACCCAGGAGGGGUCACGCAUGUCCCCAGGAUGACACGGGAUGGGCCACGCGUGUCCCUGGGGCGACACAGGACGGGACACACGUGUCCCUGGGGUGACACGGGACAGGACACGUGUGUCCCUGGGGCAACACGGGAUGGGACACACGUGUCCCCAGGGCCUACACGGGACACGUGUCCCCUGGGCAGACCCGGGAGGGGUCACAUGUGUCCCCAAGAUGACACGGGAUGGGCCACGCAUGUCCCUGGGACGACACAGGAUGGGACACGCGUGUCCCUGGGGUGACACGUGAGGGGACACACAUGUCCCCGGGGUGACACGGGAUGGGACACGCGUGUCCCCAGAGCCUACACGGGACACGUGUCCCCUGGGCAGACCCGGGAGGGGUCACGCGUGUCCCCAGGAUGACACGGGAUGGGCCACGCGUGUCCCUGGGACGACACGGGACAGGACACGCGUGUCCCCGGGGUGACACGGGACAGGACCCGCGUGUCCCCAGGGUGACACGGGAGGGGCCACGCGUGUCCCCGGGGCUCACAGGAAGUAGUCGGCCACGGGCUUCUUGGAGGGGAUGCCGCGGGUCUCCUGCGGCGCCGCCUCGAAGAUGAUGAACUCCUUCUGCAGGUGCUCGUCCAGCUCCAAGAUGGCCGCCACGUUGCCGCACCUGCGGGGGGGGGGACAACGGGGGACACGGCGGGGUGACGGGGACCGCGACACCGCGGGGCGCCCAAGCACAUCACCCGAUCGAGCGGCCCUGGUCACAUCACUCGAUCCCCGGCCUUGGUCGUGUCGCCCGAUUCCUGCUUAUGUCACCCGAUCCCUGGCCCUGGUCGUGUCACCCGAACCUGGUCGUGUCACCCAACUGAGCGGCCCUGGUCAUGUCACCCGAUUGAGCGGCCCUGGUCAUGUCACCCGAUCCCUGGCCUUGGUCAUGUCACCUGAUCCUGGUUAUGUCACCCAACUGAGCGGCCCUGGUCACGUCACCUGGUUCCUGGCCCUGGUCGUGUCACCCGAUUGAGCAGCCCUGGUUAUGUCACCCGAUUCCUGGCCUUGGUCGUGUCACCCGAUCCUGGUCAUGUCACCCAACUGAGCGGCCCUGGUCAUGUCACCUCAUUCCUGGCCCUGGUCAUGUCACCCGAUUGAGUGRCCCUGGUCAUGUCACCCAAUCCCUGGCCUUGGUCACGUCACCUGAUCCUGGUCACCGUCACGUCAACGGAUUGGCCCUGGUCAUGUCACCCCAUUGAGUGACCUUGAUCAUGUCACCCAAUCCUGGUUAUGUCACCCGAUUGAACAGCCCUGGUCGUGUCACCUGAUCCUGGUCACGUCACCUGAUUGAGCAGCUUUGGUCAUGUCACUCGAUCCCUGGCUUUGGUCUUGUCACCCAAACCUGGUCAUGUCACCCGAUUGAGUGGCUUUGGUCAUGUCACCCAAUUCCUGGCCCUGGUCACAUCACCCGAUCCUGGUCACGUCACCUGAUUGAGCAGCCUUGGUCAUGUCACCCGAUCCCUAGCCUUAGUCAUGUCACCCGAUCCUGGCCACGUCACCCGAUCCCGGUCAAAUCACCCAACCGCUCAGUCUCGGUCACACCCGAGCCGUGUCCUUGAUCACGUCACCCGACCACACGGCCUUGGUCACGUCCCCCGAUCCCCAUCC
rnacentral:lncRNA from 1 species